GCUCCAGCGCCGGCUGCCAGCCCUGGCCACGCCGCCCUGCCUUAUUUAUAAACCCCGCUCAACCUUUGAUGUCUUCCUGAUGCCUACAGGGAUUUUUUUGGCACACGACCUGGAUGGGAUGGACAGAUCCUUAGCCACGGUCUGCCUCAGCGGUCGCUGAGUUCUUUAAAAAGUAAAAGCCAGCAUUUGUGUAAUUGCUGUCUAGCAGAGUCAGCAGUACCCAAUGGAGACAUGACCUACAUACCUCAGAAAUACAACAGGAACGUAACCAGUCGUAUCCAUGCAGAUAGAUGGAUGAGAUGGGCUAAUUGACUGAUGGACAUUGUGCACGAAUAUAAACAGGCAGAAAUUCAUGCCAGAAGGAUAAAAUGGACAGUUUCCAAGACUUUGCUUUUGGGAAUGACAACGCCAGAACUGUUGUAUACCACAUGGUAUGCAUAUUUCAGCAUCCAGCAUUAUUAACUCAUGACCGACUGUCAGUUGAUCAUUAUCUAACACAUGGGGUCUGCAAAAAAAGCCUUAUUUGGGCAAGAGCAGGCUCCGGACCCGCGCCCGCUGCAUUUUCCCCCAGAAGAACUUCAGCUGGAUUAUUAUCUGCUGUCAAUGGAAACUCCGAGGUUACUUAUGUGAAAUCUGCAGACGGGAAAAUAAAUCCUCACUCAGUUUAAACAGUUGAUAUUAAAACCAUCUCCAGCUCGGCUGGUUUAAAGAAAACUCUCAGUUGCCCUCUAGUGUCCCCCUGCUGCCACGCCAGGCAGCCUGCCCGCCACUGCCAAGGUCACACAAUUUAACCUGAUUUCACGACGGCAGAUUUAUUAUUUGCCGAAUAUUUUGCACAAAAGGGCGAGGGAGGGGGAUGCUUUUUCCGCCCUGGAAAUUUCAGGGCUCCGGCCCAGGAAGCCCAGGGCUUGCAUAAUGUUUACAGCUGUAACUGAGGCGCAUGACACACGGGUUUUAUGAGUGAGAAUCUCUGAAAUCGCUCUGUGUGCAGCACUCCAUAAAGUUCAUUCAUAACUAAAAAUAGACUAAUGUACAAACUGAUUUAGCAUUAUACUGAAGCUAAGGAACAUAGGGAGUCUGCAGAAUUCCCUAAUAUGGAAGAGAAGCUGAGUUUUCAAAAGCAGCAGUUUAUUUGUUUCUGAAAAUGGACAACAUAUGUAAAAGAUUUAAUACACAGAACCAGGUGUAUAUAUAGCCUAGAUCUUCAUAUGUGCCCAUUUUCAUGCUAUAUAAAGACUUCAUACAGCCUGAAACUAUAGAUUUAAUAAUAGAUUACUAAAUUAAGUCUGCACAAUCACUUCAUAAAAUAAAUAAUUUCAAUUUAAAAUACAGCUGAGGGGUUUGGACAAUUUCCUGCAUAAUAGAGGCCCAUCCCUGAAAUGUAAA